AACAGAAAAGAAGAAGAAGAACGCAUGGAUGAAUUCAACUCAAAUGAAAAAGUAACCAAUCGGAAACUCCAACAACUUCAGGGUGGGACCUAACUGUAUAGCACAUACACAGAAAUGUGACAUAAACACUGGGGCAUGUUCUCCCCAUGCCUGUUGGUGCCCUGUGCUCAGGUGGGCUAUCUCAUGAGGGGCCUCUCUGUGUGGAGUUUGCAUGUUCUCCCUGUGCUCACAUGGGUUUCCUCUAUAUAACAUCAAAAGAACUCCAAUUGAAAACAUGCAGAACGCUCUCCUGUCAUGUCCCUGACCACGACUGGACAUUUGGAAUUGGUCUCUCUGGAGGAAGGACAGCAAGGAUGGGAAAAUGUAGAAGACACAUUUCUCUGCCACCAUUCCCCCUGCAUGCAUGUGUCUGGUGUUACUGCUCCCACAUGCGUGUAUGUGUGUUGUGUGUGUGACACCAAUAAAGACCAACCAUCAUG